AUAAGAAUAGGAUUAAAACCUACAUACACAGGCAUACAACCUCCUUCCUUCUCGGCCACCUUACCCG
rnacentral:tRNA from 1 species